CAGGUCUUGACAUCCAGUGCAAACGUAAGAGAUAAGGUGUUCCCUUCGGGGACGCUGAGACAGGUGGUGCAUGGCUGUUGUCAGCUUGUGUCGUGAGAUGUUGGGUUAAGUCCCGCAACGAGCGCAACCCUUGUCCUUAGUUGCCAUCAUUAAGUUGGGCACUCUAAUGAGACUGCCGGUGACAAACCGGAGGAAGGUGGGGAUGACGUCAAGUCAUCAUGCCCCUUAUGACCUGGGCUACACACGUGCUACAAUGGCCGGUACAACGGGAAGCGAACCUGCGAAGGCAAGCGGAUCUCUUAAAGCCGUUCCCAGUUCGGACUGCAGGCUGCAACUCGCCUACAUGAAGUCGGAAUCGCUAGUAAUCGCGAUCAGAAUGCCGUUG
rnacentral:rRNA from 1 species